rnacentral:tRNA from 1 species
ACUUUUAAAGGAUAGCGGUAAUCCAUUGGCCUUAGGAACCACUCACCUUGGUGCAAAUCCAAGUAAAAGUA